rnacentral:rRNA from 1 species
UACGGAGGGGGCGAGCGUUAUCCGGAAUUAUUGGGCGUAAAGAGCUCGUAGGCGGUUUGUCGCGUCUGCCGUGAAAGUCCGGGGCUCAACUCCGGAUCUGCGGUGGGUACGGGCAGACUAGAGUGAUGUAGGGGAGACUGGAAUUCCUGGUGUAGCGGUGAAAUGCGCAGAUAUCAGGAGGAACACCGAUGGCGAAGGCAGGUCUCUGGGCAUUAACUGACGCUGAGGAGCGAAAGCAUGGGGAGCGAACAGG